rnacentral:rRNA from 1 species
CAGCAGCCACGGGAAUACGUAGGUGGCAAGCGUUGUCCGGAAUUAUUGGGCGUAAAGGGCUCGCAGGCGGUUUCUUAAGUCCGAUGUGAAAGCCCCCGGCUCAACCGGGGAGGGUCAUUGGAAACUGGGAAACUUGAGUGCAGAAGAGGAGAGUGGAAUUCCACGUGUAGCGGUGAAAUGCGUAGAGAUGUGGAGGAACACCAGUGGCGAAGGCGACUCUCUGGUCUGUAACUGACGCUGAGGAGCGAAAGCGUAGGGAGCGAACAGGAUUAGAUACCCCCGUAGUCCCUGUCUCUUAUAC